AGGAGUAGUUGGACAACUGGGAGAGGAGUAGCUGGACCAGGCAGAGUAGUUGGACCAGGACAAGGGAGAAGGAGAGGUAGGGGGAGAGGAGUAAGAAUGUGUGUUGGUGUUCAAAGGAGAGUAAGAGCUGUUGUCACUGAUGACAUAAGAGCCACCAUCAUAGACCAUGUGAUAAACCAUGGUCUAUCACUGAGAGAGGCUGGUGAAAGAGUCCAUCCUAAUCUCAGACAGUCAAUCGUGGCUUCCAUUGUCCAGAAUUUUCAACAAACCAACAGGACGUCAUCCACCCCUCUGGGGGAAGAGGAAAGCUCCUCAGUGAAGACCUAGAGCAUGCCAUUGUAGGAUUGGUCAUUGCUGACAAUGCAAUAACACAGAGAAAUUCAGAGCAGAAUUGUAGAGGACAACCUGGUAUUUCACAAUGUGGAAAGCAUCAGCCUGACUACCAAUGCUCUGACCAAACACAGAGUUUGAAUGAAACAGUUGCACACAGCUCCUUUUGAAAGGAACAGUGAGCGGGUCAAGGAGCUCCGGCACCAAUACGUCCAGAAUGUCAUGGAGUUGGAGGCUAAUCAGACCCCACAUGAAAUCAUUAAGUAGACGAGUCAGGGUUUAACCUGGCAAAAACACAUCGGCGUGGAAGAAACGUCAUCGGGAAAAAGGCCACUGUAGAUGUGCCGGGUCAGAGAGGAGCAAAUAUCACAAUGUGUGCUGCAAUCUGGAGUGCUGGUUUGGUCCUGCAGAAAUGCCAGAUUGGUCCCUACAACACUGAGCUCCCUCCUGGAUGCCAUGGAUGCCGGCUGCAGAGACAUCUCAGCUGAAGACUGCCAGGGGUGGAUAAGGCAGGCCAAGCGUUUCUAUCCAAGGUGCAGAGACAUCUCAGCUGAAGACUGCCAGGGGUGGAUGAGGCAGGCCAAGCGUUUCUAUCCAAGGUGCAAAGCGAGAGACGACAUAGGAUGUGAUGUGGACGAGAACAUGUGGUCAAAUGCUGAAGAUCGUAUAGAUUAGAACAGGACUGGGCAUUUUUGUGUUUUUUCCCUUCUGUGUCUUUUUUACUGUAAUUGUGUUUUAUUGUUACACAUUAGGUAAAAACGGCCAUGUAUGUUGGUUUUUUUGUUGAUCACUGGCAGCAAUUUCAUGUUACUAAUAAAGAUUUUACUGCAGCAA